GGCCAGGGAGCCUGAUCGCUGGCUCCGCUGCGGUGGCGCCCCCCGGUCGCGUAGGCGGAAGAGGUGAGGAACAGAGCCGUCUCCGCGGCGGCCGCGGUUUGCAGGACGUCCGCUGGUGGAGCGCCGGUGGUCCAGGCCUCCCCCGGCCUCUUCCGCUGAAGCUGGUGGGGUUUCUCCACUGACGUCGGCGGCGGGAGCCGAAGUUUAUAGCAAUGGUAGUCUAUUAAACGAGAUGCCGACAAGUCUCAGGUAGCACCACGGUUCGCCCCGUUACUCCGUCAUGUCUAGUAGACCAUCAGUACCCCUAGUUCACUUAGGCUUCGUGCGGGACUGAGAGUGAAAACACUAGGUAGAGGAAGCUAACUAAAGGAGAUUCACCACUACAGAGUCCGUGACGUGCCUUCCACAAACUGUUUUACUCGUUCAUUCGGCGGCUUCGUGGUCUUGACGAGAGAAACUACCGUAACUUCUUCCACAUUAUGCUCGUGGUCGAAUAAGAAGUGUACUCUAUCUACUUGUACUCUUACUCAGUCGUAAGAGUUCUCCCCCACUAGGUGCGACUGAUCGCGCCGGCCACCCGCGACACGAGAAGUUGGUGAGCCUCCGCCUGAAGAGGCACUUAGGGUCACCGGUGCAGCGCACCUACCAACAGGUCCACUAAAACUGCGGCCUCCAGCGGCUCCACCUCCUGGAGCUGCGGUGGUAAGCCCCCUUCCCUCCUAAGCCCAGGUGGCCGCAGAUUCGAGGCUCGGAACCAUCUAUGUAGAUCCCUUCACCAGACAAAUCCAACCGAGGCUCGGAAAGCUACUACCAACACACACAGACUACAAUUUACCUUAGAACUCUUACAAUACGCUGCAACCAAACCAAACGUG
rnacentral:rRNA from 1 species